UACGAACCCAUGAAAGCCCAGCCCUACCAAAACCUCCUCCGUGCAACUUUGCCUCCGAAAUCGAAAUCUGCAACCAAACCCUAAACCCUCACUUCUAGUUCCGGAUCUGCUUCCCUUCUUUCCUCAUCUCCGAUCAGCAUGGCCGCUUCUUGUUACAGAUUCAUGUGCAGAUCAUCCAUAUCGUCGAUCAAAUCAGCCAUCAGAUCCAACGCUUCAAAAUCUCCGAUCGCCAGACCUCCCAUUUCUCCCUCUUCUUCUCCUCAUUCCCCAUCCUCUUCCCUUCGCCGCUUCUCUUUCUCUUAUAGGACUCCAUCUGAGCUUGGAUGCGUGCAGUCGCUCUUGCCGCUUCACAGCGCGGUGGCGACGUCAAGGAUGAUGUCAUGCUUGAGCACUACAUCGAGGAGUUGCCGAGCGCUCUCACAGGGUACACUCUGCUGCACUUCUCCCGGCCUCUAAUAAUUUAUCACUACUCUGUUUUAGAGUGCACAUAAUUUGAAAAGAAAUAAACUGGGGACUGUCAAUUAUGGCCCACUGCAUCUUUAUCAAAUGGAGUUGACGGCAGGUAACAUGUGUAUUGUUUUUUGGAGAGAUUGGUCUAUCAGUUCCAAGGUGACCUGUUACGAGGAAUUCAUUUUGGUGGGUGAUUUCAUCGGCAUGAUCGAAGCAGCAAAGCCUUGUAGCUUUUCAAUUGGAAGACUUUUGUCAGUUUAUCAAAUGCUGCUGAACCUUUAAAGCAGUGAGUGAAGGUGAUUUUGAUUCUUCAUGACGGAUAGAACCUAUCUUCUGAGAUGGAGCGAUUAAUUGCAAUUGCUUAAUAGUGUCUUUUAUGUUUUUUUGUUUUUAUUUUACUUUUGUUUGUACUUGUUCUCUUUCCCUCUUAGAUUAAAAUUUGUUCGUAGUUAUUGAUAAAGUAAACUUUACUUCAUAAAAUAGAAAGUUAGCGUAAGAAUUUCCUUGCU